rfam:Brassica napus, WGS project CCCW01000000 data, contig: 10607
GAAUUUAUAACUAGAAUAUACAGAAAUAAUUACUCCUGACAUUAUACUAUUCAGAUAUUAAUGCUUGCUUUCCUCUCUUCAUGGAAUUUCAAGUUUGACUAUUCAGUUACGUUG